AUGGCAAAAUGCAUGGUGCAC
rnacentral:piRNA from 1 species